rnacentral:lncRNA from 1 species
CUACGUGCUCCAAUAUAAUUCGGUGGUGUACUCCACAUUAAUUUUAUUGCACCAUAUAUCGUGCACAAAGGCUUUCUCAUUUAAUUUGAAGGACUUGAACCGGGCAUUGCUGGGUAAAUGGAUUUGGAGGGUUGUCAUGCCGGAAUGUAAUGCAAAUGGAGCCCAACCAUGGUGUAAGGUCCAAAUAUUAGACGUCAGAGGCCUCUUUUUCGGAACGAAUUGCAGGUUGUGAGAACAUUCUUCUCCCCUGCUUGGGCGUUCUGUGGGGAUUUCAAUAUGACCCAUUUCUCCAAUGACAGGAAACGUCAAGCUGGUAUCAAGAAGGAUAUGAUUGCUCGCCUC